CUUUCCGCAUAAAGCAUGUUUUUUUUUCCGCAUAAAAUGUGUUUCUAGACCUCAAAUUACUGCGGUGAUCUCCUUUGAAUUCUCUCAAAUUAGUCUCUAUCUUUCUUCAAGUGCAGUGCCCAAAACUGGAUUCAAUAUACCGAAUGAUGCUUUACUGGUGGGUCAGACCUUUAAUAAGAAGAUAUGGUACCUUAUACUAUGAGUAAUCCUCUUUGAAGUAAGGGCUGACUAAGGGUAUUGCAGUCUUCCCCUUAACAAGUGACCCUUGGUAGCACACCUACCUCAGACCAGAAAGAGGAAAAAAGUGUGAUGCACUGAGAACACGAUGAGAAGGGACUCUCCGAUUGCUAUAAAUUGGUGCUGUGGUAAAGAAAGAAGCUUCUUAAAGUUGGUUCACUCUCUCCUCAGCAGUCUGGUCAGAUUCUUUGAAGUGCCUGUAGAAAGACGACCAGGAAGAAGUACAGCUCAAAAAAGACAGAAGACUCCCUAGGUAAAAUCUGUUGGAUUCUCCUGCAUAUGAGGAGUUGAGGGUAUAGGGCACCACUGUAGCUUGAGUGAGUGUGGUUCUGCGGACAAGUGACAGCAACAGAAGCUGAAAGCUGGAAAUGGUCUCCCAAAGGCUCUGAGGCUGAAAUCUGAGGCUUAAAAAGAACAAUGAAUGGCCUUUGGUUUUGUGCAUGCUUUUUACUUGCAGAUUCGAAUGGCCAGUUCAACUCAUCUUACAGAUCCUAGGAUGUGUAUUCACAGUUUGUAUGAAAUCCUUCUGGCACAUGCAACUUAAGAUGGAGAAAUAUGAAGAUACCAAUAAAAUUAGAUUUG